GACGAACGCUGGCGGCGUGCUUAACACAUGCAAGUCGAGCGGUAAGGCCCUUUCGGGGGGUACACGAGCGGCGAACGGGUGAGUAACACGUGGGUGACCUGCCCUCAGCUCUGGGAUAAGCCUGGGAAACCGGGUCUAAUACCGGAUAUGACUCCAUGACGCAUGUUGUGGGGUGGAAAGCCUUGUGCGGCUGAGGAUGGGCCCGCGGCCUAUCAGCUUGUUGGUGGGGUNAUGGCCUACCAAGGCGACGACGGGUAGCCGGCCUGAGAGGGCGACCGGCCACACUGGGACUGAGACACGGCCCAGACUCCUACGGGAGGCAGCAGUGGGGGAUCUUGCGCAAUGGGCGAAAGCCUGACGCAGCGACGCCGCGUGAGGGAUGACGGCC
rnacentral:rRNA from 1 species